AUGCCCAGUAACAGUGGGCCCAAAUACAAGCAUGAGUUUUAUAUAUGGAGAAUGUUUGUGGAAUCUGAAAAUGUCCACUGCGAUGUUCAGCUCAGGGAAUCUGGACCAGCAUUUGUGAAACCUGGAGAAUCCAUCAGACUAACCUGUGCUAUCACCGGGGACCUUGUCACGAAUACAAAUGUGUACUGGGCUUGGAUCCGACAGGCUCCUGGGAAAGGACCUGAAUGGGUGGCAGAAAUAGACAUGUCUCCUAGUGGGUGGCGCAGGCGCUAUGCCCCAUCUCUCCAACUCUCCAUCUCUGCUGAUGCUGCCAAAAACGAAUACUACCUCCAGCUGACCUCCGUGACAGCUGCAGACACAGCCAGAUAUUAUUGUGCCCGAUAA